rnacentral:sRNA from 2 species
GUUUGCACUCAUCGGGGAAGGGUGAGAACCUUCGACUAAGGUUCGACUCGAGCGAAAGCGAGAGAACGUUUUCACAGGCAACGGCCCGAAGGGUGAGGAGCGCAGCGCUGAGUAAUCCUUCCCCCACCACCA